AUACACCAAUUUAUGCGUAUUUAAUUGGGUGUAGCAUAGCUUAAUUAUAGCGUUUAGUCAAAUUAAGUUGUGUAAAGUGGUUUUGCAGUUUCAGAAUCGACGCACAAUAAACGUGGAAAGCGGUCGUGACCGGUUUCAAGUCAUUAGAUGUUUGAAAGGACACCGCUCCGUUCAGAGACAUAAUAAUGGACCGUUACAGGUAUUUCAUCUUCAAUCAGAAGAGUGUGGUGGUCUUCGGCAUCCUUCAGGUGGCGUGCGCGGGGCUUUGCGUGGUUUGCGGCUUUAUGGAUGCAGUCUUCCGCAAGAGCACUACUCUGAGUGAAACUAGAGCUCCACUCUGGGCUGGACUGAUUAUGGCUGCCCCUGGUGUGCUUGCUCUCUUUGCAUCCCAGAAGGAAAAACCCAAUUUUGGUAAAUGUCAUGAUCGCAUCAUCUGUAAUGUCGCUUUUUGCUGUUGUGAUUGUCUUCGUUUAUGCUUGCGUCACUCUCAGCUAUGGAGAAGAGGAUGAUGAGAUCUUCCAUGCCCAUCCUAUCCCUGAAGUGAGGUUUGUCCUCAGCCGGAUGGUGAAAGGAGCAAACAGCACCCUUCUGUUGGCCUGCAUGGGGUCCUUCCUCUUUUCUUCUCUCAUUGCAUAUGUUGGCUGCCGCAGUCUGCCGCUUUGUGGCUGCUAUGACUCCGUG